CCUACGGGCGGCUGCAGUGAGGAAUAUUGGUCAAUGGGAGAGAUCCUGAACCAGCCAAGCCGCGUGAGGGAAGACGGCCCUAUGGGUUGUAAACCUCUUUUGACGGAGAACAAAACCCGGGACGAGUCCCGGACUGCGUGUAUCCGAAGAAAAAACAUCGGCUAACUCCGUGCCAGCAGCCGCGGUAAUACGGGGGAUGCGGGCGUUAUCCGGAUGGAUUGGGUUUAAAGGGUGCGUAGGCGGUCCGUUAAGUCAGCGGUAAAAUGGCGGGGCUCAACCCCGUCGAGCCGUGGAGACUGGCAGACGUGAGUUGGCGAGAAGUACGCGGAAUGCGCGGUGUAGCGGUGAAAUGCGUAGAUAUAUGGAAGAACACCAGUGGCGAAAGCGGCUCUCUGGUCUGUAACUGACGCUGAGGUUCGAAAGCGUGGGUAGCAAACAGGAUUAGAUACCCGUGUAGUC
rnacentral:rRNA from 1 species